UUUCUUCUCACCGUGGCUUCUCACCCAUGAGCUUCGGUCUUGUCGUGGUUGGUGGGAGAGUUUUCUAUAGCAAAGGCAUCCUUCUUCUCUUCCUCCUACUCCUUCUUCUUCUUCUUAAUAGCAACCUUCCCUUGGAGUUUUGGACUGAAGAGACCAGCCGUGAGGAGGAUCUCGAAGUUGCAAUGCUUUGGGUUAUGUAGUGGCGAGGAGGUUGGAGCUUCAUCGAUUGUUUCUUCGUCAAGCUUCAUAUCUUGUAGCGAGCCCUAGUUCGCGGGAUUUGGUGAACCAACCUGUAGCUCGAAGCCAGGAGAAGAUCAAGUCUAGGAUCGGGGGGGUGUCUGGGAGUCGUAUUUUCUGCUUUUGUCAGUAUCUCUGUAGUGCACUUUUCUGUGAGUGCAAUGCUUGUAUUCUGACUGUAUUUGUGCUUUGAAAACGGGUAAAUUUUUCUAGUGAGUACCCAAGUUUGGCCUUAUAUCAGUUUGAGCACUAACUUUCAAUUUGUAUCAAAAUGAGCAUCAAGUUUUAAUUUCAUUUCUUUGGCAAGGUAAUUGGGGAUUUCUGUGGAUUUUUGAUGACAUGGACGUCGGAAAGCUUUCGUGGAUGCCCUGGGUCCACAUCACCAGGGCUAUUGUGUUCUGGAGAGAGAGGAAAAGAAAAGGAUGAUGGGAGAAAAGUUGACGUGUGCAUCCUACAUGGACAAAAAAAGCCACAUUGGUUAAAUGGCUGAGUUAGUGAGUCGGUGACGUCGAUCUAAGGCAUCGAUGCAAGCUUUCUGGUGUCUACAUCACCAAAAAUCCACCAAAAAUUCGCAAUUAUCUAGCUGGAGAAAUGAAAUUAAAACUUGGUGCUCAUUUUGAUACAAAUUGAAAGUUUAUGCUCAAACUGAUAUAAGCCCAAACUUAGGUACUCACUGGAAAAAUUUACCCCUUUGAAAACUGUUGGGUUAACUUUGUAUUCUGUAGGGCUGCUAAAGCCCAUACUUGUAGUAUUUCAACUUCCGGUAUCCCAUUCGUGCUUCUGUAUUACAUUUCUUAUUGUGCUUGUUAGGUUGACUCUGACUAGGUCAAAUCUGAGGCCUUGCACCCAGUGGAGCCCAGUCCCACUGGAUGUGGUCAAUCUGUCAGCGGGCCCGGCUGUGGGGCUGGGGCAUGACAAGUUCAAUCCCAGUUACAACCGAACUUACGACACCUUCAAUCUCCCGGUUUCUUCAGUUCGCUUCGUAGAAGUUAACUCAUCUCGAGCUCCUCCAGUCUGCACCCACUUCCUUCCUCACAUCAUUUUAGCAAGUCCCCUCUCCUGAGGGUCGCACCCACCAAGGAACGAACAACCAUCUCACCAAAUAUGGCUACAAAAGAUCUCCUGAUCUUCUUUCCAAACUUGGCCCAAGUUUCAUCUUCACAUACGAUCAUCAUUUGAACCAUAAAUAUAUUGUUACUAAACUUGAUCUCCUCUCAUCCAAGUUUAGCCUUCAAUAUCUUUCAAGCAUGAUCUCCAAUCAUCCAUGCUUGGAUCUUCACAUCUUCAAUCAAUCUUUAAUCAAAUCUCACCAUAUAUGAUUGUGUCCUUGAAUAGCUCCGCCCA